GCCGGGCAUGGUGGUGCACACCUGUAAUCCCAGCAGCUGGGGAGGCUGGAGCAGGAGGAUCGCGAGUUCAGAGCCAGUCUCAGCAGCUUAAUAAGGCCCUAAGCAGCUCAGCGAGACCUUGUCUCUA
rnacentral:sRNA from 1 species